UCCCUCUCUCCUUCUCUCUCUCGACAUAACCCCUCUAUCUCUUUUAAUUUUUGUUUUCUUUUUUAUCCCUCCAUCAGAACUAAAUCACCUCACUUCUUCUGUCUUCAGUCCCAUCCAACCAUGGCCAUCAAUCUUCUCAUGUUCAUUUCGUCUACAGAAUCCAUCGAUUUAUUUUUAUAUUGGAGAAGUUGGAAUUUUGAACAACUACCUUAUAUCGUCUUUUCCGAGCUACAAUGACCUUUCCCAAGGAAAACAAGCAAUUGGUUCGUGUUUCUCGAUACGAGCUCUCUAUAUUGAACUACUACUUUUGCAUUAUGGGACACUUAUGUAGACCAUUCCUUUUAUUUUUGUUUUCGAUUCAAAUAUUAUAUUCUCCUUGUAGAUUAUUCUACUAAAGUGAUUCAUUUUUAUCUUUUCUGUCAUUGUUGGUAUAAGACCAAACCUAGCAUCAUUGCUGAUGGAGCUCCAUUCCCCCGUCAUGUUCCUUUUUCUUCAUCUUAGGAGGCUUCAGAGUGCCGAGACAUACGAAAGACAAAGAUGAUGGGUUCCAAGUGAUUAAAGUUUCAUCAACAUUAGAUGUUUUGCCUGACUUCAAAUUAUUAGAGGUUAACUUUAGGUAAAAAGUUGUGAUUGGUAUGCCCUUGAUUAUAAUAAUAGAAUCUCUGCAACUUGGUCAAAAUAGAUUGUUGCAAAGUCUUGUGCUAUGAAUAUGUAGUAACUUGACUAACCCGUAUUUGGAAUGGACCUUUUGUAUUUAUGUAUUGUUUUCAUUUGAUGAGUUAUUUUUAUGUUGGUUUCA